AUAAUGGGUCAGCGACUUAUAUUCUGUAGCAAGGUUAACCGAAUAGGGGAGCCGAAGGGAAACCGAGUCUUAACUGGGCGUUAAGUUGCAGGGUAUAGACCCGAAACCCGGUGAUCUAGCCAUGGGCAGGUUGAAGGUUGGGUAACACUAACUGGAGGACCGAACCGACUAAUGUUGAAAAAUUAGCGGAUGACUUGUGGCUGGGGGUGAAAGGCCAAUCAAACCGGGAGAUAGCUGGUUCUCCCCGAAAGCUAUUUAGGUAGCGCCUCGUGAAUUCAUCUCCGGGGGUAGAGCACUGUUUCGGCAAGGGGGUCAUCCCGACUUACCAACCCGAUGCAAACUGCGAAUACCGGAGAAUGUUAUCACGGGAGACACACGGCGGGUGCUAACGUCCGUCGUGAAGAGGGAAACAACCCAGACCGCCAGCUAAGGUCCCAAAGUCAUGGUUAAGUGGGAAACGAUGUGGGAAGGCCCAGACAGCCAGGAUGUUGGCUUAGAAGCAGCCAUCAUUUAAAGAAAGCGUAAUAGCUCACUGGUCGAGUCGGCCUGCGCGGAAGAUGUAACGGGGCUAAACCAUGCACCGAAGCUGCGGCAGCGACGCUUAUGCGUUGUUGGGUAGGGGAGCGUUCUGUAAGCCUGCGAAGGUGUGCUGUGAGGCAUGCUGGAGGUAUCAGAAGUGCGAAU
rnacentral:rRNA from 1 species